UUUUCCGGAUCGUAAAACUCUGUGUGGAGAAGAAUGUAUCUGAAUAGUAACUGAUCAGGUAGUGACCGGUAUCCAACCAGAAAGCCACGGCUAACUACGUGCCAGCAGCCGCGGUAAUACGUAGGUGGCAAGCGUUGUCCGGAUUUAUUGGGCGUAAAGCGAGCGCAGGCGGUUUCUUAAGUCUGAUGUGAAAGCCUUCGGCUCAACCGAAGAAGUGCAUCGGAAACUGGGAAACUUGAGUGCAGAAGAGGACAGUGGAACUCCAUGUGUAGCGGUGAAAUGCGUAGAUAUAUGGAAGAACACCAGUGGCGAAGGCGGCUGUCUGGUCUGUAACUGACGCUGAGGCUCGAAAGCAUGGGUAGCAAACAGGAUUAGAUACCCUGGUAGUCCAUGCCGUAAACGAUGAGUGCUAGGUGUUGGAGGGUUUCCGCCCUUCAGUGCCGCAGCUAACGCAUUAAGCACUCCGCCUGGGGAGUACGACCGCAAGGUUGAAACUCAAAGGAAUUGACGGGGGCCCGCACAAGCGGUGGAGCAUGUGGUUUAAUUCGAAGCAACGCGAAGAACCUUACCAGGUCUUGACAUCCUUUGACCACUCUAGAGAUAGAGCUUUCCCUUCGGGGACAAAGUGACAGGUGGUGCAUGGUUGUCGUCAGCUCGUGUCGUGAGAUGUUGGGUUAAGUCCCGCAACGAGCGCAACCCUUAUUACUAGUUGCCAGCAUUUAGUUGGGCACUCUAGUGAGACUGCCGGUGACAAACCGGAGGAAGGUGGGGACGACGUCAAAUCAUCAUGCCCCUUAUGACCUGGGCUACACACGUGCUACAAUGGAUGGUACAACGAGUUGCGAGACCGCGAGGUUUAGCUAAUCUCUUAAAACCAUUCUCAGUUCGGAUUGUAGGCUGCAACUCGCCUACAUGAAGCCGGAAUCGCUAGUAAUCGCGGAUCAGCAUGC
rnacentral:rRNA from 2 species